GAAGAGGAGCCUCUCAAAGCAGCUCCUUGAUAUCCAUGUCCUUCUUCUUCUUCUGUUGUGUUCUUCUGCCUCUCCCUCUCUCUAAAAAUUAAAUGCCCUGUGUAUACACCCCCUACAUACAUUCUUUCCUCCUCCUCCUCCUAUCCCCAGUUCUCUCCCUCUCUCUCUCUCUCUAGAAUAAUAGCUCCAGUUGAUUGCAGCAAUGGCAGGUGCUGAGCUGGAAGAGGAAGUGAUAUGUUUUUGAAGAUUGAUUCACACUUGCAAAUUAAAAGGUUUUAUUGCUUGAGGACAAUACCCCAAUAGCAAAAAGAUCAAAAGGGGCAAAAAUAAACAAGGAUGAGGCGAAGAUUUGCUUGUUGCACCCGCGACCGGGAGAUUAGCAUCGACUUUGACGACCAAGAGA
rnacentral:sRNA from 1 species